rnacentral:sRNA from 1 species
GUUGACAGAUGGAUGCCUUCUUAAUCACAGCCUGUGACACCCACAUGACUAGGAGGAGGCAGAAAGUGAAUAGGGAGCUCUUAUUACUUUUUGAGUGUCAGCAAGUUAAGACAUCAUCUCCAGAAAACUGUGCUAGUUGGCAUCCAGCAGUGCCCAAGUAUUAUUUAACCCACUAGAACCUGUGACUGCAUCAGCUUUAUAUCCUGGACCUCAGCCUGGAACAAAGGAGAGCUACACUUGGAUACUAAACACAAGUGGUCUGGAUAGAUUAUGCUGGGAAAAGAAGCCUGGAGCAGGCAGUACAGUGGGAGAACAAGACAGAAGUGCUUGCCUUGGUGAUCCAAAAAAGGCAGGAUCCGGCCGGGGGCAAGGUGAUUAUUCUGUCUGAUGAGGAGAAUAAGAGCCAGUUUGUGGUAUUGACAGAAGAAUGAAAGUAAAGUUCAACCAAUCUACAAAGGCCAAAAAUAUUUUCACAGGCCCCCAAAAGAUGAACUCCAAUCUGCUGCCCCUAAACGCAUUCUCCACUGUCUGGAAGAUGUGCAAAGGCAACGGCACAGCGUUCUCCAUCUCAAAUCCUUCAAAGUGCUGUCAGAAUAAAAGAAUCCCCACCAAAA